UACGAAGGGGGCGAGCGUUGUUCGGAUUUACUGGGCGUAAAGGGCGCGCAGGCGGCUCAUUUUGUCAGGCGUGAAAGCCCCGGGCUUAACCUGGGAACUGCGUUUGAUACGGAUGGGCUAGAGUUCGGGAGAGGAGAGUGGAAUUCCCAGUGUAGAGGUGAAAUUCGUAGAUAUUGGGAAGAACACCGGUGGCGAAGGCGGCUCACUGGCCCGGAACUGACGCUGAGGUACGAAAGCGUGGGGAGCAAACAGG
rnacentral:rRNA from 1 species